rnacentral:rRNA from 1 species
GUGACGGUACCUGUAUAAGAAGCACCGGCUAACUACGUGCCAGCAGCCGCGGUAAUACGUAGGGUGCGAGCGUUGUCCGGAAUUACUGGGCGUAAAGAGCUCGUAGGUGGUUUGUCGCGUCGUCUGUGAAAUUCCGGGGCUUAACUUCGGGCGUGCAGGCGAUACGGGCAUAACUUGAGUGCUGUAGGGGAGACUGGAAUUCCUGGUGUAGCGGUGAAAUGCGCAGAUAUCAGGAGGAACACCGAUGGCGAAGGCAGGUCUCUGGGCAGUUACUGACGCUGAGGAGCGAAAGCAUGGGUAGCAAACAGGAUUAGAUACCCUGGUAGUCCAUGCCGUAAACGGUGGGCGCUAGGUGUAGGGGGCUUCCACGUCUUCUGUGCCGUAGCUAACGCAUUAAGCGCCCCGCCUGGGGAGUACGGCCGCAAGGCUAAAACUCAAAGGAAUUGACGGGGGCCCGCACAAGCGGCGGAGCAUGUGGAUUAAUUCGAUGCAACGCGAAGAACCUUACCUGGGCUUGACAUACACCAGAUUGCUGCAGAGAUGUAGUGUCCCUUGUGGUUGGUGUACAGGUGGUGCAUGGUUGUCGUCAGCUCGUGUCGUGAGAUGUUGGGUUAAGUCCCGCAACGAGCGCAACCCUUGUCUUAUGUUGCCAGCAUUUGGUUGGGGACUCAUGAGAGACUGCCGGGGUUAACUCGGAGGAAGGUGGGGAUGACGUCAAAUCAUCAUGCCCCUUAUGUCCAGGGCUUCACACAUGCUACAAUGGUCGGUACAACGCGCAGCGACACUGUGAGGUGGAGCGAAUCGCUGAAAGCCGGCCUUAGUUCGGAUUGGGGUCUGCAACUCGACCCCAUGAAGUCGGAGUCGCUAGUAAUCGCAGAUCAGCAACGCUGCGGUGAAUACGUUCCCGGGCCUUGUACACACCGCCCGUCACGUCAUGAAAGUUGGUAACACCCGAAGCCAGUGGCCUAAACUUGUUAGGGAGCUGUCGAAGGUGGGAUCGGCGAUUGGGACGAAGUCGUAACAAGGUACCCGUACCGGAAGGUGCGGGUGGAUCACCUCCUUUCUAAGGAG